rnacentral:rRNA from 1 species
GAACGCUGGCGGCGUGCCUAAUACAUGCAAGUCGAGCGAAGUGAUCCAGAGCUUGCUCUUAUGAAGUUAGCGGCGGACGGGUGAGUAACACGUGGGUAACCUGCCCAUAAGACUGGGAUAACUCCGGGAAACCGGGGCUAAUACCGGAUAACAUUUUGAACCGCAUGGUUCGAAAUUGAAAGGCGGCUUCGGCUGUCACUUAUGGAUGGACCCGCGUCGCAUUAGCUAGUUGGUGAGGUAACGGCUCACCAAGGCAACGAUGCGUAGCCGACCUGAGAGGGUGAUCGGCCACACUGGGACUGAGACACGGCCCAGACUCCUACGGGAGGCAGCAGUAGGGAAUCUUCCGCAAUGGACGAAAGUCUGACGGAGCAACGCCGCGUGAGUGAUGAAGGCUUUCGGGUCGUAAAACUCUGUUGUUAGGGAAGAACAAGUGCUAGUUGAAUAAGCUGGCACCUUGACGGUACCUAACCAGAAAGCCACGGCUAACUACGUGCCAGCAGCCGCGGUAAUACGUAGGUGGCAAGCGUUAUCCGGAAUUAUUGGGCGUAAAGCGCGCGCAGGUGGUUUCUUAAGUCUGAUGUGAAAGCCCACGGCUCAACCGUGGAGGGUCAUUGGAAACUGGGAGACUUGAGUGCAGAAGAGGAAAGUGGAAUUCCAUGUGUAGCGGUGAAAUGCGUAGAGAUAUGGAGGAACACCAGUGGCGAAGGCGACUUUCUGGUCUGUAACUGACACUGAGGCGCGAAAGCGUGGGGAGCAAACAGGAUUAGAUACCCUGGUAGUCCACGCCGUAAACGAUGAGUGCUAAGUGUUAGAGGGUUUCCGCCCUUUAGUGCUGAAGUUAACGCAUUAAGCACUCCGCCUGGGGAGUACGGCCGCAAGGCUGAAACUCAAAGGAAUUGACGGGGGCCCGCACAAGCGGUGGAGCAAGUGGUUUAAUUUGAAGCAACGCGAAGAACCUUACCAGGUCUUGACAUCCUUUGACAACCCUAGAGAUAGGGCUUUUCCUUUGGGAGCAGAGUGACAGGUGGUGCAUGGUUGUUGUCAGCUCGUGUCGUGAGAUGUUGGGUUAAGUCCCGCAAAGAGCGCAACCCUUGAUUUUAGUUGCCAUCAUUUAGUUGGGCACUUUAAGGUGACUGCCGGUGACAAACCGGAGGAAGGUGGGGAUGAAGUCAAAUCAUCAUGCCCCUUAUGACCUGGGGUACACACGUGGUACAAUGGACGGUACAAAGAGGUGCAAGACCGCGAGGUGGAGGUAAUUUCAUAAAACCGUUUUCAGUUUGGAUUGUAGGGUGCAAAUUGCCUACAUGAAGCUGGAAUUGGUAGUAAUCGCGGAUCAGCAUGCCGCGGUGAAUACGUUCCCGGGCCUUGUACACACCGCCCGUCACACCACGAGAGUUUGUAACACCCGAAGUCGGUGGGGUAACCUUUUUGGAGCCAGCCGCCUAAGGUGGGACAGAUGAUUGGGG